AUUAAUAGCUAUUCCAACUCCCAAAUCCUUUAGUCAGUUUAGAGGUAAAGGUCUGAUGUUACCUGUAGUUUUUGGAAGUCACGAAAAUAACUUUAAGAAGUUAAAAACAAUGUUUACACAUAAAAGAGAUAAGGUUACCUUUGGGUAAUAAAUGCACAUUUUUUAAUCCAAAUCCGGGCAAUGAAAAGUUUCCAAUUUUUUUAAACUUAUUUAGAACUGAAGAGCUUGCACGGUCAUGUCGGUGCUCUUUACUAUUAAACCCAACCCAGGCAAAUGGUCAAGUAUCAAUAAAUAUUUUCUGCUGUAAAAUCAUAAAUAUUUCAUGAAAAGUAGUAUUAUAAAUCUGCCAAAAAAACAUGAUAAAAUGGGGGCUGGAGACCGUAAAUUGUUCAUUCUUACUCUUGUGACCGCUGGAUAUACAGAAAAUGCAGAUAUCUGCAUUCUAAGGACUUUGUGUUUUGGUCCUUUUAGGCCUAGGGUGCUGACAAAACAUUUGAAGUUUAUGCCAGAAGCCAUUCUUCGAUAGACCUAAGUCUUGGGAUUGGGUAAUGGUAGUGUGUCGUAUGCUAUAGCUCAUGGGCCUACAAGGCCGGAACUACUUUUUUAUUCCAAAAUGGCGGAUUAACUAUCAUCGCCUAUUCAGGAAAAACAUCACAGACUGUUUCCGAAAAAAUCUAUUUUUACACAGUUUUAGGUGUCACUCUUUUCGCCUGGUUUAAACAUCUACGGAGAGGGUACCUUCUGAUGCGGCCUAGCUUUGGCUGUUUUAUGACGACUCCUAGAUUCAGACGAGAAAGUCGCCAGCUACAUGUACCUGUAAUAUUUUAAAAAUGCUGACAUCAUCCAAAUUUCUGCUGAAGUAGCUGCAUUUCAAGCAUUUGUCCAAAAUAAUGUCAACGCUUUGGUCGUGGAUUUCGCUUUCUCUGAAAUACUUACAAACGUUUAGAGAUCUUCAGUUUCCCGAAAAUUAUUCAUGAGCAAUAUUGAUAUCUUUUGCAAGAUAUCAAACAACUUCAAAAGCCACACCGUGUUUCGCACAUUAUCAGCUACAAAGCAAUUCAAAGAAGCCUGCAAAGGCGUCCUGCAGCCACAGCAUAUUCCUGGAACGCCUGGAUGUUCUUUUUAUUCAAGGCCUAAACAGCAUUUGUUUCCUAGGCUGUCAGUAAGGUACUUAAACCCAGCUUGGUGUGGAUAUUUGAACAAGACAAUGGAUUUUACAGACCUAUAAAACAGAAAAAAGGAGAUCAGAACAGAAAAUUAAAACGAAACAGCACAGACAUUUUUAAAAUAUAAAAAUUAUACAAUUAUUAGUGAUUACGGUUAUUAAUUAAGGACUGUACAAUACGUUUCUAUCAUGAUUGCAUAACAUUGUAAAUAGAACGGAGUGUAAAUCUCACUGAAUCAAUAUUUACAUAAAUUGCCAUUUACCUUUCUAUUUUACAAAUUCUCUGUAUUUUUGAUUAGUUUGUUUGCGAUCACGUCCAUCCAUCAUGCAUGUUUGCUGUUAUGUUUCAAAGACUAUUAUCAUGACAAAUGACUUAUCAAAAGCUAUGUUAAUGUUUUUAUUUAUAGAAGCUAUCUUCUCUUUAAUCUGGCUUUGCAUUGAGUAAAACCACUACAAACACCAAACAAAAAAUGCAAAAAUCAUAGAACAUUAAUACGCAUAAAAUUAAUAUUAAUUUUUACCAUGAAUAACAUUUAAAAUUAAAUACAUGCAUUAUAAAUUGAAUACAUUCAUUAUAAUCAAGAUUAUUUGAAUUUAUAGUUCUAUAUAAAUACACGAGAUAAGACUCAAGUGUUUAUAAUUUUUGUCUGUUAAUAUGGAGGCGAACUAAUUUGAAUCAUCUGUGUAAGACGCAACACGUGCGUUCUAUUGUCCGCUGGACAUAAACGUCAAAGCACGUGAUUUACGUGUACAGACCAAAGAGCCCGCUUCCUGGAAGUUGGGCCUCCGGAAAUCGAAUGCACGGAUUUUAUUUCUUUUUCUGAAAGGAUAAUUUCUUCAGUUCGGAAAUAGACAGUUUUAUGCUGUUUUCAUUUCCAGUCAGAAGACACCGUAGACCGAAUAAGAAAUUAUUCCAGAAUGUUUAAACAUAGUUAUGAGGGAACGGCGAUGAAAGGGAGGAAACUCCGUAGUUAAGUAUGUUAUAUCCGCAGGAGUUACCCACCCUUACACGAGUAAAACUGGUUCAUUGAAUAAUCAAUAGUUGGGGGAAAGAAUUGGAGAAAGGAAAAUUAAAUUUAGAUAUAAGUAUAGAUCAUUACUGUGGUUAUGAUUUAUGGAAAUACUGAUAAUAAAACUAUCACAUCGGGCGAUU